rnacentral:lncRNA from 1 species
AACUAAACCUUCCUUAUCUUUGUAGCCCAAAUACAGUUGCUGGUGGGGUGAAAAAUCAGCUGCUAGACAAGUGGGCACGUAGCACAUUGCACCGUGAUGGGAGCAUAUUAUAGUAGUUUAAUGAAUUACAUUGUUCUCUUUCUCCGCCUUCAUAAGCAUUUAUGCUUAUGUGCAUAAAUAUGCCAAUGUGUGCAGCAGUUUAUUUUUAUAUUGGACUCCCUCCUACACUAUAUUUCAUGACAGAAGAAAGAAUCAAGAUCAAAAUGAUGCAUCUGACUAGAAACUGAAAGCUGUUUGUGGGAAGAUAAGAAAGAAAGCUCAUGAAUAAUUCUGGAGCCCCCAGAAGGAGCGCUCUUUUUUGGAUAACCCAGUGAGACUGUUCUAAAGUUAGUCCUCCGUAAAGAGCCAAAACCCAAAACUUGAGUGCCUGUGAAUGCACUCUGAAGC